GGGACCGGGGGGGAGCACCCGCGCACCCACGAGGGUCCCUGUGGGGUUACCAGGGUCGCGACGAGCCACCGACGCCCCACCACCUGGGCAGGGAGCUGGGGACCCACAGCAGCGCCUGGACCAGACCUAGGUGCGUCUUGAGGUGGCAGCGCUGUUCCGGGGUGGGGGAACCCCCUCCGUGUGCCGGCAGUAAACAGGAUACGAGCGGCUGCGGUGGGGAGGCAGCGGCAGCAUCGCCCCAGCCCCGCUGAGAGCCGCGGGAUGAUCGCGGGGGAUCAUCCCCAGCGGCCCCGAGGUCCCUCUCCAGAUGUUGGCAUCGCUGGUGCAUGCCCGGCACGCUGAGCCCCCCAGGCAAGCGGAGCCCCCCGAUUCUCAGCGCCCACCUAAACCAGCGCCCCAGGGUGCCCCCGGGGUGUCCCCCCACCCCGCCAUGGCGCUGGAGGUGGGGGCCGAGGCGCUGUUGGACCUGAGCUUCCUGACGGAGGAGGAGCGAUGUGCCAUCGCAGAGGUGCUGCGCCGCGA